rnacentral:rRNA from 1 species
AUGCCGUCGUGGAAGGAUGGAGAGCAGAGCAGCGAUGAGGAGGAGCUGCUCGGCAUGGAUCUGGAGCAGCACUGGACGAACCCUGGCACCACUAUAGAUGCAUCCUUCUGUGGUAGAGCUGCAGAUGCAAGCAUCACAUGUAGACUGCACUUGGCCCCAUGCAUGAAAUAUGUUGCAUUUGAAGGAAAGGACACUGAGAGGAGGUUCUAUGGAUGUGUUGUUCCUCAGGAUGGUAUUGACUGUGGAGUUGCUCAGUGGGUUGAUGCCCCAUGGCCUUCUAUUCUGCAAAGAUGUUUGGAGAAGAUAUGGGAGAUGUUUCAUGAGGAGAAUUGUGGCAGAGUGAUUGACCAUGAGAAGUAUAAGAAAGAGUUGGACAAGGUGAACAAGCAGUUGGAUACACUUGGGGUUCAGUACAGUUAG